CAGAAACGGCGUCCCAGUUCGGAUUGCAGCCUGCAACUCGGCUGCAUGAAGCUGGAAUCGCUAGUAAUCGCGGAUCAGAAUGCCGCGGUGAAUACGUUCCCGGGUCUUGUACACACCGCCCGUCACACCAUGGGAGUCGGGAAUGCCCGAAGUCAGUGACCCAACCGAAAGGGGGGAGCUGCCGAAGGCAGGCCUGGUAACUGGGGUGAAGUCGUAACAAGGUAUC
rnacentral:rRNA from 1 species